UACGUAGGGACCAAGCGUUGUCCGGAUUUAUUGGGCGUAAAGCGCUCGUAGGCGGUUCGGUAAGUCGGGUGUGAAACCUCCAGGCUCAACCUGGUGACGCCACCCGAUACUGCCGUGACUUGAGUUCGGUAGGGGAGCGGGGAAUUCCUGGUGUAGCGGUGAAAUGCGCAGAUAUCAGGAGGAACACCGGUGGCGAAGGCGCCGCUCUGGGCCGAAACUGACGCUGAGGAGCGAAAGCGUGGGGAGCGAACAGG
rnacentral:rRNA from 1 species